rnacentral:rRNA from 1 species
GACGAACCGUGCAAACGUUGUUCGGAAUCACUGGGCUUAAAGGGCGCGUAGGCGGGCCAUCAAGUCCGAGGUGAAAUCCCCCAGCUUAACUGGGGAAGUGCCUUGGAUACUGGUGGUCUCGAGGAGGGUAGGGGUACUCUGGAACGUUGGGUGGAGCGGUGAAAUGCGUUGAUAUCCAACGGAACUCCGGUGGCGAAAGCGAGGUGCUGGACCCUUUCUGACGCUGAGGCGCGAAAGCCAGGGGAGCAAACGGG